AACGAACGCUGGCGGCAGGCCUAACACAUGCAAGUCGAGCGCCCUUUCGGGGGAGCGGCGGACGGGUGAGUACCGCGUGGGAAUAUGCCCUUCUCUACGGAAUAGCCUCGGGAAACUGAGAGUAAUACCGUAUACGCCCUGUGGGGGAAAGAUUUAUCGGGGAAGGAUUAGCCCGCGUUGGAUUAGGUAGUUGGUGGGGUAAUGGCCUACCAAGCCGACGAUCCAUAGCUGGUUUGAGAGGAUGAUCAGCCACACUGGGACUGAGACACGGCCCAGACUCCACGGGAAGGAGGCGGGGGGAAUCUUAGACAAUGGGGGCAACCCUGAUCUAGCCAUGCCGCGUGAGUGAUGAAGGCCUUAGGGUUGUAAAGCUCUUUCAGCUGGGAAGAUAAUGACGGUACCAGCAGAAGAAGCCCCGGCUAACUCCGUG
rnacentral:rRNA from 1 species